rnacentral:rRNA from 1 species
UACGAAGGGGGCUAGCGUUGCUCGGAAUCACUGGGCGUAAAAGCGCACGUAGGCGGAUUGUUAAGUCAGGGGUGAAAUCCUGGAGCUCAACUCCAGAACUGCCUUUGAUACUGGCGAUCUUGAGUCCGGGAGAGGUGAGUGGAACUGCGAGUGUAGAGGUGAAAUCGUAGAUAUGCAAGAACACCAGUGGCGAAGGCGGCUCACUGGCCCGGU